rnacentral:rRNA from 1 species
AGUGAACGCUGGCGGUAGGCCUAACACAUGCAAGUCGAACGGCAGCACAGUAAGAGCUUGCUCUUACGGGUGGCGAGUGGCGGACGGGUGAGGAAUACAUCGUAAUCUACUUUUUCGUGGGGGAUAACGUAGGGAAACUUACGCUAAUACCGCAUACGACCUACGGUUGAAAGCAGGGGAUCUUCGGACCUUGCGCGAUUGAAUGAGCCGAUGUCGGAUUAGCUAGUUGGCGGGGUAAAGGCCCACCAAGGCGACGAUCCGUAGCUGGUCUGAGAGGAUGAUCAGCCACACUGGAACUGAGACACGGUCCAGACUCCUACGGGAGGCAGCAGUGGGGAAUAUUGGACAAUGGGCGCAAGCCUGAUCCAGCCAUACCGCGUGGGUGAAGAAGGCCUUCGGGUUGUAAAGCCCUUUUGUUGGGAAAGAAAAGCAGCAGGUUAAUACCCCGCUGUUCUGACGGUACCCAAAGAAUAAGCACCGGCUAACUUCGUG